rnacentral:rRNA from 1 species
CAGGACGAACGCUGGCGGCGUGCUUAACACAUGCAAGUCGAACGGUAAGGCCCUUCGGGGUACACGAGUGGCGAACGGGUGAGUAACACGUGGGUGAUCUGCCCUGCACUUGGGAUAAGCCUGGGAAACUGGGUCUAAUACCGAAUAGGACCAUGGACUUCACGGUUUGUGGUGGAAAGCUUUUGCGGUGUGGGAUGGGCCCGCGGCCUAUCAGCUUGUUGGUGGGGUAAUGGGCCUACCAAGGCGACGACGGGUAGCCGGCCUGAGAGGGUGACCGGCCCACACUGGGACUGAGAUACGGCCCAGACUCCUACGGGAGGCAGCAGUGGGGAAUAUUGCACAAUGGGCGCAAGCCUGAUGCAGCGACGCCGCGUGAGGGAUGACGGCCUUCGGGUUGUAAACCUCUUUCAGCACAGACGAAGCGCAAGUGACGGUAUGUGCAGAAGAAGGACCGGCCAACUACGUG